GAGAGUGAAUGUGUGCAAGCGAGUGAGAGCGAGACAGAAUGUGUGUGUGUCAACAAGGAAAUGUGUGGGAAUCACAGGCUGAGGCUGUGUUGUAAUAUAAGAUUUAUGAACCGUCUGUGUGCGAGUGCAUGGCAGAGAGUGUGAGAGAGUAACGGAGAAAGAGAAGAGUAGGAGGAUUACUCUACUCAGUCAAUGUGUGAGAGAGAGAAAGCAAAGCGGAGGGAAAAAGAAGAGAGUGAGGAUGGAGAGGAAGAGUGAAAGAGUGUUAAGUAAACAACGAGAAGAAAGUAACUAAAAAAAGGAUGGAGAUAAUAAUGGGUGGGAGUACGAGAUUUAAAGUAGAUUAACGGGAAAAAAAAACGAAGAGGAAAGAAUUAGUGAGAUGGAGGAAAAAGAUUUAGUGGAAGAGUUUAAAACUAUGUCUAGUUGUUCAACCUCAGCUUAGUUUUGAUUGAGUAAACCUAUAAUCAAAGUGUUCUAACCAUGACCAUCCUGCCUUUUUGUGUAUCGUAAUCUGCAUUGUCCAAUGUAUUCUUCUUUUAUGCUAUAUUAGGACGAUUUAAAUGCUAUUUCUAGCAAGUCGAACGAUCGCGAUUAGGGUUUUCUCAGAGAUUAAAGAAUGCGAUGGAGUAGUUUAGACUAUUUCAAAAGGGAAUAAGAAAAGACAAAAUAUGCAUUCCGAGGGUGGGAAAAAGAAGGACAUUGCCGAAUUGAUAAAAAGAAAAAAAAAGGAAGUGAUAAAACUGUCGAUAACAGCAGGGAAUGGUAGAAGAAAUGUUUACCCCUCACUUUUUACCAUAGUAAAGAUAGAUUAGAUAGAUUACAGAUAGGUAAUUGAGGGUGAGACAGUAUGAAAUAUUGGCAAUAGUGAAAUGGGGGAGCGAAGACUUGUCAGAACAAGCCUAAAAAUUGAACUGAAAUAUUAAAUGACAUGUCUAGAGUAUUGAAAAGAUAUGACGGAAACACACACAAAAUGUGUGUUUAAUAAACAUACAAGGAAAAGAGCGGACUGAAAUUUCAGAUCAAUUGUGGGAUUACAUUAUGUAUGUGUAUAAUCUUUGUCCGUCGUUGUUGACGAUGAUCAGGACAUCAGAUGGGAGAGAUGAGGUACACAUCAAGAUGUGUGAGAGAGAGAUAAGAGUGAUAUUGAAAGAGUUAAAAGAGAGAUACAAUCAUAGUUUCGACAGUUAUUUUGACAAUUUUCUAUCAAGAGUUAUGUUUUCUUCCAUGACAUUACGACUCUCGUGACGGGAAGAGUUGUCAAAAUAUGAUGGGACGAGUAAAAAAAAACAACAUACUGAAAGAGAGAGAGAGAGAUUAUAUGGCAAACUUUUCUUAAUUCAAAUUGCUUCAUGUUGAUAUCAAAAUAGUUGUUUUUAGAUUCAUCAGGUUUUGAUGGACAGGUGUGCUUUAUCUGGAUUGACAUGGUGCUAAACAUCAACCACUGUGUCAUGACAAUGAAGGAACCAAUCCCUCUACAAAUCACAGCUUGCUACCUUAGAAAGGGAGAGUCCCAUUCUGCAAUGUAAUCCUAAAUACACAUGCUUGAAGAAAAGAUGAGAUGGUCAUGAUUGAAAUACUUCAAAUCACAAGUCUACACAAUCAAGGUGUCCGUUACGGAAGUGAGGAUCAGAGCAUGCGUAAUGGUGAGCGGAAGAGGUCAGAGGGCAACUGGGUGUCAUGGAAACCGAACGUGUUUGUUGCAACAAAGAGAAGAAAACCUUCCCCUCCAGAUUGU
rnacentral:lncRNA from 1 species